AUAUGCUUGUCAAAUACCUGCGAAUAGCUUCACUGGAAAUCCAUAAUCGUUCCACUCCGAAAUCAGCAAUUUUAUCAACCAUAUAUUAAAAUGAAACACAAAGUGUAAUUUAUUCUUUUUUUUUAUUAAUGACAAGUAACGAAAAGACUAGAAAGUGACCCGCACUUAACAAUAAGAAACUAAUCCUCCUUCCCUCUAUGAAACAUGCAGUACGAAAUCUUACAAAUAUCAAAUUUACAUUAUUGUCCCUACAAGUAAAUAAUAUCAACUAUCAUGACUUAUCUUUUUUACAUUUUUAAAUUGUCUUUUAAUUUACAGUAAUGAGUUAUUUUUAAGUUUGACGAGGCCUAGUGUAUUGAACAAUAGAUAAUCCAGGAAAAAAUGUGUCUUAAUGGUUAUAGAGUACUGUUUUUAUUUAGAGUGAAUUAACCAGGCCUGCAAAUAUUUUGCUUGGAAGGACAAAUGUCUGGCCAAGACAAAACAUUGGUCGGACAUUUACUAUCAGCUUUUCUCGGACAAUGGACAAAGUUAAAUUUUUCAUAUUUUUUUUUUUUAAUUACCACGAUUGUGUUAAUCUUCACUGCAAUGCAUCUAAAACUGAGUGUACAUCAACUAGUCCUAAUCCAUCAGUAGAUUAUGAUUCAGAUUACACAUAACUUUAAUUUCUACUAUGACAUACGCAGAAAAAUGUGUUCAAAACCAUUUUUCUGAGAUUCGACAAUUGACCAGCCUAAAUUUGCAAUUGUUGGUCACAUGCCCAGUCAUAAAAAGCUUUGAUCAGACACUAAGUAAAAUUUGGCCAGACAAUUGUCCAACGACCAGCACUAAUUUACAGGCCUGGUAAAUAGAUCACCAACGUACGUUACGAGAUUCAAGGCUUCAGAGUCUAAGUCAUAAUUACAAAAUAAGACCGUACAGGCAUUAAGCCAAAAUGAUGUACGCGCUCUGAAAGGGUGCAUUCGUUGUCAGGUUAUGUCGAAAAUACCAUCCCUUUAGUUGUACAUUUAGAGGCUGUUCACACUAGCAUUAAACCUGAGUUGGACGGAAGGAAGAAAAAGCCCUGGUUCCGGAUUUUUACCUGACUGGUCUAUCACACCAAAAAUUGUAAUCUGCCUUUUUGAUUGGUUAGUGCUAAUGGACCUUUCACCUUUUGACUACAAUUUAGAUUUCAACAAGUCUAGACAAAAAUUUUAUCACAGCUUGAAAGAGCAUCACAAAAUUAGUAAUAUUCCGAAGUUUCGUUGCGAAAUGUUGUAAAAUGCGGAUAUUAUAGCCUUGCGAAGUUUGCAAUUUUCAGUCAUUUUGUAUUACAAACGGGAAAUACAUACCCUUUUUCCGAAGGAGGUAUGUAUUUCCCACGCGUAAUACAAAAUGACUGAAAAUGGCAAAC